rnacentral:rRNA from 1 species
AACGAACGCUGGCGGCAUGCCUAACACAUGCAAGUCGAACGAGACCUUCGGGUCUAGUGGCGCACGGGUGCGUAACGCGUGGUAACCUGCCCUUAGGUUCGGAAUAACUCCCCGAAAGGGGUGCUAAUACCGGAUAAUGUCUUCGGACCAAAGAUUUAUCGCCUUUGGAUGGGCCCGCGUUGGAUUAGCUAGUUGGUAGGGUAAAAGCCUACCAAGGCGACGAUCCAUAGCUGGUCUGAGAGGAUGAUCAGCCACACUGGGACUGAGACACGGCCCAGACUCCUACGGGAGGCAGCAGUGGGGAAUAUUGGACAAUGGGCGAAAGCCUGAUCCAGCAAUGCCGCGUGAGUGAUGAAGGCCUUAGGGUUGUAAAGCUCUUUUACCCGGGAUGAUAAUGACAGUACCGGAAGAAUAAGCACCGGCUAACUCCGUG